UAGGGAAUCUUCCGCAAUGGACGCAAGUCUGACGGAGCAACGCCGCGUGAGUGAAGAAGGUUUUCGGAUCGUAAAACUCUGUUGUUAGAGAAGAACAAGUGCUAGAGUAACUGUUAGCGCCUUGACGGUAUCUAACCAGAAAGCCACGGCUAACUACGUGCCAGCAGCCGCGGUAAUACGUAGGUGGCAAGCGUUGUCCGGAUUUAUUGGGCGUAAAGCGAGCGCAGGCGGUUCCUUAAGUCUGAUGUGAAAGCCCCCGGCUCAACCGGGGAGGGUCAUUGGAAACUGGGGAACUUGAGUGCAGAAGAGGAGAGUGGAAUUCCAUGUGUAGCGGUGAAAUGCGUAGAUAUAUGGAGGAACACCAGUGGCGAAGGCGACUCUCUGGUCUGUAACUGACGCUGAGGCUCGAAAGCGUGGGUAGCAAACAGGAUUAGAUACCCUGGUAGUCCACGCCGUAAACGAUGAGUGCUAAGUGUUGGAGGGUUUCCGCCCUUCAGUGCUGCAGUUAACGCAUUAANCACUCCGCCUGGGGAGUACNACCGCAAGGUUG
rnacentral:rRNA from 1 species